CUCACAGACCAUCCUUUUAUCCCCCGGUAGUAAUCCACAUUUUAUUGCGAAAUCGGUCUACAAAAGCGAGACAAGAUGAUAUAGUGUUUGUCCGCCAUCGUAAUGAAGAUGUACAGAGAUCAACAGUAACAAACUCAUAAUGUUCAAAAGUGUUUGGUCAGCCAUCGUCAUGAAGAUGUCAAGAGAUCACCAGUAACAAGCUCAUACUAAUCUGAAUAUGAUGUAGGCCUAUAACUAAAAAGGGCCAGUAGUUCCUGAAACCAAGUAUGGAUGGAGUCUCUGCUACCGACCACCUUUAAGGCUGCAGGGUAUAAAGGAGAUCAACUGCCUUGGAAAACAUCAGUAUCUUCAAGACAUCUUAGCAGCUCAUCUGUGGACCAUGAAUUAACAAAAGUAAGAUAUUCUUUUUAGAUGAGUAAAGCCCGGUUGAUACUUCCUGCGAAUGCAAAUGCAGAGCGAAUGUUGACGUCACAAAUCCGCAACUAAUAAUUCGCAGCAGUUCAAAUCUGCUCACUUUUGAAUUUCGUUGCGAAAAGAGGGUUCUGACGUCAAAUUCACAUCGCAAUCGCAUUUGCAAGAAGUAUGAACCGGGCUUACAUGUGUAGAUUUUUGAUGCUUUACAUGUAGUGGGUUGUUUUGGCAGCUCACUAUACAGUUGGCAUCUUGUAAAUAAGUACACCAUUGCAAGCAAGCAAGCAUAUACGCGUUUUUGUUGUUGCGCUAACUUGGUGGUGCGUGCGGACCAAAGACUAAAGGGACCUGGACACGUGCACGUGGCAUGUGGGGUCCUACUUCCGGCUCGGGCCACUGGGUGGUUGAU